rnacentral:rRNA from 1 species
CUCCAGACUCCUACGGGAGGCAGCAGUCGGGAAUAUUGCGCAAUGGAGGAAACUCUGACGCAGUGACGCCGCGUAUAGGAAGAAGGUUUUCGGAUUGUAAACUAUUGUCGUUAGGGAAGAUAAAGGACUGUACCUAAGGAGGAAGCCCCGGCUAACUACGUGCCAGCAGCCGCGGUAAUACGUAGGUGGCAAGUGUUGUCCGGAUUUACUGGGUGUAAAGGGCGUGUAGCCGGGAAGGCAAGUCAGAUGUGAAAUCUGGAGGCUCAACCUCCAAAUUGCAUUUGAAACUGUUUUUCUUGAGUACUGGAGAGGCAGACGGAAUUCCUUGUGUAGCGGUGAAAUGCGUAGAUAUAAGGAGGAACACCAGUGGCGAAGGCGGUCUGCUGGACAGCAACUGACGGUGAGGCGCGAAAGCGUGGGGAGCAAACAGGAUUAGAUACCCGAGUACU